GGCAACUUUAUGUACAGUUGGAAGGUGUGUUGUUUCCAUUUUCAUCUGUUCGAAACAAUCAUGAGGUGCAUCAGAAUCUUGGGCUGUGGGAGGAGUUUUGGUGCAUAUUUCUGUGUGGAAUCGGGGAUAGCCAGUUGCCCUGCAAUUCAGGGUUCGCUUGGUGACACCCUCUUCAGAAAGCUGGGUCUGGUCAGCAGUGCUCCAUGAUUUGGC